rnacentral:rRNA from 1 species
AUGAGAGCGCCGGCGGCUCUCCUGGAUAACGCCCGCACAUGUGCCCUCGCAAAUCCCAUUGUAGUGGCGGCCGGGGCGCCGGUCAUCCGGUCGUUCCCCUUUGUGGUGUGGUACGACGUCUCCGUCGAAGCUGCAGUCUGCUCCCACGCUCGCAUCGUCGAGCGGAGUUUCCUCUUCCAGCGGCAGAUGGAAGGUGUCCUGGAGCUAGCUUGCACGGAUUUGACUCAUGAUGUGGGUGUUAAUCUCGUCGACAAUCUUGUUUCUUGGGCACAUGAUCGCUCUUUCUCUAGCUUGGAAAUUCCGCCGGCUUUGCUUUCUUUACUGGACUACCUUCAGAUGAAUUCAGACACAUAUUUUUUGAUUCCUUUCCAUUGGUAA